UUGAAGACACAGGGAACAGAAAACAAACUGGAGGCUGGCUUGACUGCAAGUCUCGAAUUGGAGGCUGGCUUGACACAAGUACAGCAUUUUAACUGCCUCACUUUUAGCUCACUUCAAUGACACGCCGGAACAAUGCGAUAGAAGGGCGAUUACGGAGGUGAAAGUAACUGGUUCUCGACUCAACUCAAACCCACCAGGCAGGUAGGCUGGAAGAGGGGGCUGCUGUGGCAGCCUCUCACUCUCCCUCGCCGUCCCAGUGCCGUGCGAGACCCGCUACAGGUGUCUGCUGACUUAAGCCUUUCCAGGGACCCGUCCCCCAUACAUGGCGGCGGGCACCUUUGCUAGUCCUUCCGCUUAAACUGCUCAACCGGGGAGGGGAGAAAAAACGGCUUUGGCCGAGGGGGUGCGUCGGUCUCCUGUCUCCCUUACGGCUGGAACCCACCAGGCAGGUAGGCUGGAAGAGGAGGCUGCUGUGGCAGCCUCUCACUCUCCCCCGCCGUCCGAGACCCGCUACGGCUGUCUGCUGACUUAUGCCUUACCAGAGAGCCGUCCCUCAUACAUGGCGGAGGGCACCUUUGCUAGUCCUUCCGCUUAAACUGCUCAACCGGGGAGGGGAGAAAAAACGGCUUUGGCCGAGGGGGUGCGUCGGCCUCCUGUCUCCCUUACGGCUGGAAAAGGUAUUGCUAAAAAGCAAAGUCCGAGCAAUUUCCUUACGUCUUCACUAUACUAAGGAUCUAAUAGAGAGCGAAAGAGCCCAUACAAUGGGCGUUAUUAGCAGAAGUCAGUCCCAUAGAUAUGGGCUGAUCUUCACCUGCUAGAUUGUUCAGAAGGUUGUUAUCAUCCAUCCAGAUGGAGGAUCACUAAAAGGAGCGAGGGAAGACUCCAGAAUCCACUCUGGCUGGAAUCCGGUGAAUACAGCAGUGUUUACAGGUACAGUACGUUAUUUUAAGGGCAGGCGGUCAACACUGGGGGAAGAAAAGAAGCAGAAGUCCUUCCAAGAGGGAGCUGCAGUGAGGACACAGCCUGGUCACUGAGGAUGAGAACAUCAAAAUGACCAAAGUAGCUGAGCAGAUUUCAUCUCAACAGACAAAGCUGAUGGCAGAAGAAGUCGGAGAAGAGCUUUAGGCCGUGUACUGAAAAGGUAUCAAAAGACAUUUGGAGUGACGGCUUCUACAACUCAGUUUUUGGUUGUGCUGAAGUAAAGCUUACAGUCUAGGUCACAGUAUUGAUAUUCAACAAAGAAAAGCUCACUUGUUUGAAUUUAUUUACAAUCAUAGUUUUUAUAAAUUCUGACUCUAAACAGCUUUUACAUCUUUGAUAUUGUUUGACACUAGAUAUCAGGUGAUGGGAUUUAAUUUAAUGUCCCAAUGAGCCAUUUACACUGACAAAGGUCAGUUGAACUGUAACACAUUCAUUAUUUAGAUCCAACAUUUCUAAGAGAAAUAACUGAAUGUAAAAAAUGGCAGCCCUCAGGCCAGGUUUAAUUGAUAGAGAUAUCUGCAUGCAUUAUGAAAUUUAUGUAUCCCAGAUAAUUGUUAUUCAUCUAGUCAUGGCAGACCCACACCUUCCUCCCAAGUUAACUGCAACCCAAAAUAAGUAGUGGCGAUAUUUACACACUCACAACCAGUGUGGUGUAAAAAGAGCAACCAAAAACCUAUCAGCCUGCACAGCCACAGAUGUGCUAGAAGCUCGAAAAGCUAGAAGCUCUGCUUAUGGAGAAACUCAUGGAGAAACUUUCUAAGCCUAACAGGGGACAGGUACUCCUGCCCAAAUAACAUGAUAUAACCGCACAUACAGCCCAGCCAUAAAGUGAACCAAGUCAUUUAGUUAAAGACAGUGUUAGGGUUAAUGUAUGUGUUGUAGGUUGCCAUUUUAAAAGCUACACAUUCAAAAGCUAGAAUGAUUUUGUUUGCUCCCUAUGUAACCCACGCAUGUGAGUACGUGCACAUAGGGAGGAAGAGCAGCCUUGAGAAGAACAAACUGGACUCAGUGAAGGGAGUCACCUGGUGUGAUAAGGAUAGCAACAGCAUCCUGGGAGGGCUGUACUCACAUCGUAUAACCACGCUUGCACAACACACCAGCACACGCAGACAGUUAGUCUUUGUUCACAUAUAUACCUGUUUAAGAUGUCACAUGUUAAUGAGACUAUGUAUAUUCAUGUGUGCAGCCUGCAGGGGGAAGUGGGUUGGAGACAACUGCUUCCCUCUCGCAAGUGAAAACUUGAGCUCCGUGUGACCUCGUUCCUGAGUGAGAUUCUGUUUAUCCAGCAGUAUCAGGGGUAAAACUCUGACAACAGCAUGGGACCAAAUGCAUCUAACCAGCCUGCACCAACCUGAUAUUUCUUCCUCCUGAAUUAAAUGAAUGGAUGGAUGAAAGUUAAAUGACUACAAACCUAAAGCCACUAGUUCCCACACUGGAGUUUCCUGACACUGUGUGUUUAAUUGUACUGAGCUUGUAUCAACACUUGUAACAGGCUAAGCUACCCGAGACACUGCAUUGAAUUAUUGUUUCUAUCUUAAUGAUUUCAGCUGACUGGUUUUAGCUCAGAUGUUCCGCUUUUUCCUUUCAGUAGAUCAAAAUAACUUGUGCUCUUUCUGCUUCUAAUUUGAUGGCAAGAAGAAAAAGAAGAAUGCUUCAGCAAAGUGGUGUUCAUGGUCUCAGUGAGCAGUGUGCCGAUCAUGGUCACACACUGCAUGUGGUUCAAAAAGCAACAUGUCUGUUCACCACAACAAUCAAAAAGUUUGAAAUAUGUAUUGUUGUGAGAUGUGUAAUAUUAGUGCAUGCUACGGUUUGUUAUUGAACAUUGUUCAGUUGUGUUUUCUACUUAGACCACUUAGAUCAAAAAAAGUGUUGGUUUCAGAUUCUUUCUUUUUAAAUUUAUAAAGCACCUGUUCAUUUUUUUAAUAAAAUUAGUUUGACAUAAAUUUUAGUGUUUCCUUUAUAAUCUUUUAAUGCUUACACUACACUGUAAACAUCUACAUUAGAGACAUUUCUGUUACCUAUUUAUGAGACUGGGCUGCUUGACUACAAUUUGGAAGUGGAUGCAAAAUCACAUGGAGCGUGCUCUCGUUUCUUUUUUAAUAUGAUGGACUGAACACAGGAGGUAUCCGCUUUUGACUAAGCACAGAUUAAUCUGAUCCCAUUUCUACCUGUCUGUACUAUUUGAAGAUUUCACUGAAGUUUGCUCAACUGUAAUUGUCAGGAUAUAUAUUUUUUCCAGCUCUCAAAGGGCAAAGGAAUGACUCAGACUUAUCAAAUGUUCUUUGAUUAGAUACACAAUGUGAAGUUCAUAAUUUUUUGCAAAUAAAACUAUAUG